rnacentral:rRNA from 1 species
UACGUAGGGUGCGAGCGUUAAUCGGAAUUACUGGGCGUAAAGCGUGCGCAGGCGGUUAUGUAAGACAGGUGUGAAAUCCCCGGGCUUAACCUGGGAACUGCAUUUGUGACUGCAUAGCUAGAGUACGGUAGAGGGGGAUGGAAUUCCGCGUGUAGCAGUGAAAUGCGUAGAUAUGCGGAGGAACACCGAUGGCGAAGGCAGGUCUCUGGGCUGACACUGACGCUCAUGCACGAAAGCGUGGGGAGCAAACAGG